rnacentral:rRNA from 1 species
AGUUUGUAAAGGGACUGAAAUUACGCCUUCCAUGAAGCUGGAAUUGCUAGUAAUGGCAGGUCAGCAUACUGCCGUGAAUACGUUCCCGGGCCUUGUACACACCGCCCGUCACACCAUGAGAGUUGGAAAUACCCGAAGCCUGUGAGCUAACUUAAAGAGGCAGCAGUCGAAGGUAGAGCCAAUGAUUGGGGCGAAGUCGUAACAAGGUAAC